rnacentral:pre_miRNA from 1 species
GUUUGAAUGUAUGUAGAUGGUGUUCAGCACCAAGGACAGGUAUGUUUGAAUUUAUGUAGAUGGUGUUCAGUAGGAAGGACAGGAAUAUUUUCCU